UUCAGUGCUCGGGAGCCAAUACAAAUGUGUUCACAUGUGUAUGUGCGUAAAAGAACAAAAUCGAACAUUUUUCUGGUUAAAGUGAAUAUACAAAUAUAAUGCUGGACAGUUGGAGAAACCUCAAAUUGUUAUAAAGCGCGGGUUAAGUUCCAGUCUCUUCUCGGUUCGUGUUGUUCGGCGUAACCUACUGGAGAGAGAUUAGACACCGGCUCUAGGAAUUGUUCUUCUACCCGUCUCCUCUCAUUCCAGUCGGACACACCGAGGGGAGAGGUUGCCGAAGAUAGAUUCAUUUGUAAACAUUUGGGAAAAUACUCUCUAGCGUAAAUAAACAAAGUAAAAAGUGUACAAAAAUCCGGUUUUACUGGGAACAAGUGUACGUUGCAUUAAAGCGGAGAACUCUUAAGUGUAAACAUCUUGCUAAGAAUUUAAAAACUUUAAAGGACCUUGCAAGGUCGAAUUCAGAUCAAGCUGAAGCGGAGAAUACGAGUGAAAAUUAUAGUUAUUGUUAAGUUGUUCAAAUCAAUUUUGAUGAGAAAUUUUUCAUCACAGAGCAAUGAGGAAAACAACGCGAAAAUACAGUAGUGAGAGGAAAAAUUCUACAUGUGAUGAAACGAAUGAAAAGAUAUGAGAGUUUAAGCAUUGCCGCUUUUAUCACAACACUUCUACUUGCCAUGAGCGGAUCUUUUUGGGUUGAAGGGACACCUACCAGUGGGGUUAGGGGCCAGGCCCCUAGCCUCUACAAGACCCCCGACUGUCGAGAAAUGGCCGGACAUUUUUAUGUAAAAAAUAAGUGCGGAGGCAUUCUUACAAUUUCUUCCAAAAAUGAGUUCAUUUUACAGAAGUCCGGACUCUACAGUGGUCAUCCCUUAGCUGAGAUGGUUAAAGAGACCUGUGCUAGCAGCCACGCCUCCUGGCGGAGCUCUGGUCCCGCCCACUUUGUGAGAUAUAGGCACGCCAGCUCAAACAAGUACAUCUGCUUCAAUAAGAACGGAAAAGUUAAAGCUGUGUCUGGUCGGCGAGUGGAUCGCCGAGGACGAUUGUGUAUGUUUGAGGAGGUUGCUGUCGACCAAUCCUACCAUAGCCUCCAGUCCUCGCACAACCCCUCCUGGAUCCUCGGGUUCAACAAUAACAACCUGGAGAAGGUUUACCAGGAGAACCGUCUCACGGACCACUGGGCGGCGAAGGCCAGGCGAGGUUGGGUCAGCCGAAGGGAAAACUGCGACGCACAGUUUUCCAGCGCAGCCAACACGCCGGCCAACCUCGCAGACAAGUUUUCUGGACUUAUUAAUCUAAUCAGUGAUCUGGAAAAUAAUGUAAGAGUUGAAGACAAAGCGGCAAAUUUAGACCAAGAUCUCAGGACAUUUCAGAGCAGUGGCGGCGGUCAGCAGCCGACAGUGUCCAAAGCUCAUCUAGAAGCUCUGAAACUCCAACAUGAGCUUGUCUUAAAAGGAGUGAGAAAUAAAAUCAGACAUUUCCCAAAGAAACAACGGCUCAGACCUUCAAGAAAGGACAAAAAACGUUAUAGAAAAAGUCUAGCCAUGCGCCAGACUCAGAGUUCUGGCCAAACAAACUAAAAAGAGGAAUUUAAAAUUGUUUUUAUUUUCUUAGAUUCAUUCAGUUCAGUUCAUUUGUUAUUGGUAUAUCGUUAAAGAGGCUACAAGUCAAUAUAGUCAUUACAUAUUUGUACAAACCGUAUUUAAUCAAUAUUUAUCACUUUGUUUAAAUUUUAAGCUGUCAUUCCCCAUACCCCCCAUUUCCGUCCAAAAUUCUUCAGAACAUUCCAGUUUACAUCCUUUGUAGGGAUACUUUUUAUCAAAUUUUAUAUUUUAACCCUUGUCCUGGGACCAAAUCAACGUCUAGAGGUUCCAGACGGAAUCAAAACAAGAUAUUGUAGACGUCGAUCCGCCAAGAUUUUACAGACAUCAUUUUUUAAGCUUUUCCAUUUUAAUGUUUUUAGAAACAUUUUUGCUGAAUGGUUGGUUUGCUUCUCCCGGGGUAUUCUGGAGAACUAAAUACAUUUUUUGUCACGUAGAAUCUCUAAAUACAUUUUAAUACUGUUAAA
rnacentral:misc_RNA from 1 species